rnacentral:rRNA from 1 species
AUUGAACGCUGGCGGCAUGCCUUACACAUGCAAGUCGAACAGCAGCGGGCCCUUCGGGGUGCCGGCGAGUGGCGAACGGGUGAGUAAUGCAUCGGAACGUACCCGGGAGAGGGGGAUAACCGGCCGAAAGGCUGGCUAAUACCGCAUGAACUCGGAAGAGCAAAGCGGGGGACCUUCGGGCCUCGCGCUCUCGGAGCGGCCGAUGUCCGAUUAGGCUAGUUGGUGGGGUAAAGGCCCACCAAGGCGACGAUCGGUAGCGGGUCUGAGAGGACGAUCCGCCACACUGGGACUGAGACACGGCCCAGACUCCUACGGGAGGCAGCAGUGGGGAAUCUUGGACAAUGGGCGCAAGCCUGAUCCAGCAAUGCCGCGUGGGUGAAGAAGGCCUUCGGGUUGUAAAGCCCUUUCGGCGGGGAAGAAAUCGGUCAGGCGAAUAGUCUGGCCGGAUGACGGUACCCGCAGAAGAAGCACCGGCUAACUACGUG